CAGCUCCAGCGCUCUCUCCCCUCGCCCGGUGCAGUUUCCUAGCGGUCUCUAAGGAGAGGGGAGUUAAUCCGUGUCAGCCCUUUACGUGGUGCCGAUUACUUUCCUGUGGGCCAGCUCAGCCUUUCUGGCCAGGGUGUGUGACUGUGGGGCUGCUGUGCAGGUGUUCCCUCCCUACUUCUGCCUAUCCAUCCUAUCUACGUGGGAGAGGCCCUGUGGAGGUUGUUUGUGCUGCUGCACUCUAUCCCAUGAUGCAGAGGAGCAAGAGGAUGCCUGCAGCUCCUUAGUACCUUGCUCAGUUCUCUUCUCCUCUAGAGACAAAGGAACCAUCCAGCAAAACCAGAGAAGCAAAGAAUUCAUGUUCUCGAUAUUUCUGAGAAACUCAUUCAGAAGCAAACCAGGUCAAGGGAUGAUUUACGAAACUGUAAUUGUCAUAUGGUGUUAAUGUGAUAGCUGGUUUCAACUGACAUCUGUGAGAAACAGUUGGACAUACCUCUUCUUCUACAUGAACUAGAGUUUCUAAUUAAUUAUGCAAAGCUGAAAACAAACAAGAGUAUACUGAAAAAUAAUAGCUAAAAUCUAAGAUAAGGUGCACUCUCACACCUUGUUCUGUUAUUGAUACCCUUUGCAUUGACCACAAUGGUUUCAUUUUGACAAUGGACUUUUACCAGCAAUAACAUAUAUUACUGAUAGCACUAUUACUGAUUCUAAGACUCUAUUAUGUUAUGUUUACAAUCUCUGUAAAGCUAAUACAUUAAUAUGAGCAAAAUCAUGCAACAAGCAACGUGUAACUUUCAUGAAAUUGGCAUUCAUUAACAUGGGUUACUUUGCAUACAAUACAAAAUUUCCUUCGGUAUUAGGCAAGUUGUCUUUUUUCAAUGUAUUUGUUUCAAUGAUCUAUCAAGUUUAUUGUGUACAACAGAAACAAAAAAUCCUGCAUCUGUUUCUCUUUCAUUAUAUGAGAGCAUUGAACAUACAACACAAGGUUAUGUUCAACACCCAAGUCUUUUCUUGUUGUCAUAGUUCUCUUCCAAACCACUGAUAGCACAGUGUCCUCUAUUCAUGUAAUCAAAUGUUAUACCAUCACUUUCAUCAAGACAUCAGGCACGUUGAGUUAUCCAUGUGACCACCAAGGAGCAUAUCAUCCCAAUUUGCAUAUCACAGAAUAUCAUUUUUUCAUUUUCAUAAACAUAUCUGAGUAGAAUCAUCCCAUGGUUUAGUAACCCUUUACAACUGUGGCACUUUCCUGGGCUUUUACACCUUUAAUCUCAUUCUGGAAUAUGUUUUUUUCUUUUAAAGAGAAAUUGUCUUCUCAGCUAUAACUCAGUAGAAAAAUCUUGUACAGAAAUACUAUUUUGUAAACUCUUUGGGACAGGGAAUCUCUCACUGUUUGCACAGCAUCUAGCACAAUGGGCCCUGAUCUCAGCUGGACCUUUGGGCAUGCACUGCUGCAAAACAAAUAUUAAAUAGAAUGCUAAAUAUAAUAAUAUUGAUUAAGGGCCAGAUUUUCAGAAGUCUGCAAACAAACAAGAGAAGGUGCCAAAGUAUGAGUAGGAAGAAAUCACACCAUGAAUUGCCUUCUAGAGCCUUUCAGCAGUCUUGGCACUCAUGGCUUAACUUUCCCCACCUGAGACCUUCUGCUUUGGGGAUAUCCUCCUUCAGCAUAGACAAUCUAAUCAUGAGUUGCUGGGACUGUCUGAGGUCCCCCAAAAGUGAGGGACCCCAAGCAGUGCUUUGGUCCUGCCUCCACUGUGUAACACUGACUUCACCUGCAAAAUCUCAGAUAUGAAGACAAUUGUUUUGAUCUGUAAAUCACAUGCUUCCAUGCAUUAACAGCCUAUUUGCAUGUGUAGCAACAGGAUUUGCAUGCACAUGUUCAGGAUUUUGUAGGCAAACCAGCUGCAUGCCCUCCCCUUGCACAGACCUUUGGAAAUCAGCCCCUAUAUGUGUACGCUUAGAAGUGAAUGUGUUUGAAAGCAAAGUAGUUGCAAAGUAGUUCCUCUUCUACUUGUCUACCAAGGCAUGAGGUACAAAAAUUCUUCUUAAUGACAUCACAAAAACGGAAAGCAAUGCUACUGCAUUUUUUAAAGAAAGACUACACAAAAUUGCAGUGAUUGCAUCAUGGUCAAUGACUGAAUUAUCAUCAUAGUUGCUGAAAACUAUCAAAGUCUCAGAGGUUUGUUAUUUGUAAUACUGAGGUUCUGAUCAAAUAGUAUAAAGGACUGAUUUAACUAGUGAUUAGAUUAGAGUGCAGAACUAUGUAAUUACAGUGACAUUAGAAGAAACUCCAUCAUUCAGUGACUGAGACUAAUCUGUCUUACCCUGGCACAUCAAACUCCAGCAUGCUUGUCCAAGGCCCAAGUGUAGAGACAUCAAGAGCAAAAGAGAUGAAGGCAGCAUUCUUAUAUGUAUCAGGCGACAGCUUCAAGAGUGCAUAGAGCAUGUUCUUCUGAAGUAAGCAAUCAAGCUGAUCUAUUCCUGGCCCUCACACACCAGAGGAAGUACUUUCUGUGUUGCCUAAUAACUUAUAAACCAUCCAGUAAGCAUUGUGAGUUCUGCAGUUCCCACAUAGGGUUUGAAGAAAAGGAGUUAAUUGGGCCAUAUUGGAAAUACAGAGUUAGCAUCUGAUCCUCAGAUGGCAUAAAUUGAUGUAGGUCCAUCGUUUUCAUGGAGCUACACUGAUUUACAUCAGCUGAGGAUCAGGGUUUUGGGUCCAACUCUGCCACAUUUAUUCACACACUAAAUAAUACCUUACUACGUGAAGAAUCCCAUUUCCAUUCAAAUGGGACCGACUACUCACUUAGUAAGGUACCACCCAAUGGACUAGCUUGUGAACUCCUUACUUCCUGUUGUCGGGUGGUUAGUUGCAUGAUUAGUCCCAUUUACUCCAUUGAGACUACUUGUGUAAGUGAGUAAAGGCUUCACAACCCAGCCCAAGGUGAAUAAAAAUGCCCAAAUCAGGCUUUAAUAAGUACUCAGGCUGGUCACUAACCUGUUGCAAGCUAGCAAGGUGACAACUGUAAACAAGGUGAUGCAACUGGUAAAAGACUCAUAUAAUUCUGGGGUGUCAUAUGUAAGACAGGUGAGAGAAUAAUUCUGCUCAACUUGGCACUGGUGAGGCCUCCACGGGAGUACCGUGUCCAGUUCUGGAAGAUGUGUACGAAGAGGAGAGCAGCAAACCUGAUAAAAGGUUUAGAAAACCUGACCUAUGUGGAGAGGUUUAAAAAACUGGGCAUGUGUAGUCUUGAGAAAAGAAGGCAGAGGGGGUAUGACAUUGGCACACCUGGUGCCAGCUCAUGCCAAGGCCCAGGGAACUGAACACUGACAAAUGCACAGCUGGAAACCAGUCUGACUUACCUGUGGGUUCGUGUAGUUAUAAUAGAUAUUAGGGUUAUAACAAUGUGUUUCGAUUUUAUGGAAUGCUUGUAAAAGGCUGCAUGUUUUAUCCUACUUAUAAUAUCUGUAUCCCAUGGUAUAAAGUUAUAUUAAGUGUUUGCAUUGUAAACCUCUGUAAUUGUGUAACUCACCAAACAGGAAAGGAAGCAUUAAUUAAAGUGCUCAACUUGCACACAAGUCAAACAAAGGCAAAUGAAGCAUUGUGUAGCAUCAAAGGACAGUGAUCUGGUUGAUUGCAUUCCUCACUCCCUCCAGGAAGCAUAGGCUUGCACAUUAACUCAUCCCAUCUGCUUGGAUUCUGGGGUGAAGGGGAUAAAAAUCCCUGACAAGAAGAAACUGGGAUCUUUAUGCUGUCUGGACUCUGAGGUGCAAAGAUUCCUAAACAUAUGCAAGAGAUCCCCAUGCUGCUUGGCAUGAGUCAGCUCUAAAGGGCAUAGAGAGCUUUAACUCUAAGUCUGUAACUCAUUUGUGUGUGUAUGUUUCCUGUUUUAACCUUGUCAAUAACUUUCAUUUCUUUUCUUAGUUAAUAAAUCUUUAGUUAGUUUAU